AACGUAGGUGGCGAACGUUAUCCGGAAUCAUUGGGCGUAAAGGGUGCGUAGAUGGCAUGAUAAGUUAUUAGUGGGAAAUCGAGGCUCAACCUCGUGGAAGCUAGUAAUACUGUUUUGCUUGAGUACAGAAGAGGUUAACGGAACUCCAUGUGGAGCGGUAAAAUGCGUAGAUAUAUGGAAGAACACCAAUAACGGCGAAGGCAGUUAACUAUUCUGUUACUGACAUUGAGGCACGAAAGCGUGGGGAGCAAACGGG
rnacentral:rRNA from 1 species